UGGUUGGUUGUCUUUUCCAGGUUCCAGU
rnacentral:piRNA from 1 species